rnacentral:rRNA from 1 species
AGCGUAUAUKARAGUUGUUGCAGUKAAAAAGCUCKUUUUUGKAUCUCGGGUCCAGGCUCGCGGUUCGUUUCGCGACGAUACUGCCCGUCCUGACCUACCUCCCGGUUUUCUCCCGGUGCUCUUCGCUGAGUGCCUCGAGUGGCCGGAACGUUUUACUUUGAAAAAAUUAGAGUGCUCAAAGCAGGCAGUCUGCCUGAAUAACCGCGCAUGGAAUAAUGGAAUAGGACCUCGGUUCUAUUUUGUUGGUUUUCGGAACUUGAGGUAAUGAUUAAGAGGGACAGACGGGGGCAUUCGUAUUACGGUGUUAGAGGUGAAAUUCUUGGAUCGCCGUAAGACGAACUACUGCGAAAGCAUUUGCCAAGAAUGUUUUCAUUAAUCAAGAACGAAAGUSAGAGGUUCGAAGACGAUCAGAUACCGUCGUAGUUCUGACCAUAAACGAUGUCGACUAGCGAUCCGCGAUCGUUGUUCGUAUGACCUCGCGGGCAGCCUUCGGGAAACCAAAGUUUUUGGAUUCCGGGGGAAGUAUAGUUGCAAGCCGAAACUUA